AUUGAACGCUGGCGGCAGGCCUAACACAUGCAAGUCGAGCGAGCGGCGGACGGGUGAGUAAUGUAUGGGGACUGCCCGAUAGAGGGGGAUAACUACUGGAAACGGUGGCUAAUACCGCAUACUCUAGGAUAACCCAUCUGGGAUUAGCUCGUGGGUGGGGUAAAGGCUCACCUAGGCGACGAUCUCUAGCGGGUCUGAGAGGAUGAUCAGCCACACGGGGCGUGAGACACGGCCCGAACUCCUACGGAGGAAGCAGUGGGGAAUAUUGGACAAUGGGCGCAAUCCUGAUGCGGCCAGGCCGCGUGUAUGAGGAAGGCCUUGGGGUUGUAAAGUACUUUCAGCGGGGAGGCGUUACCCGCAGAAGAAGCACCGGCUAACUACGUGCCAGCAGCCGCGGUAAUUC
rnacentral:rRNA from 1 species